GCGAGCGCUCCCGAGAGGCUUUGCGGGGCUCGGAAGCUUCUGCCCGCGCGGAGAUAAACAAGCACCGCGACCGCCGAGCAGCGCCGAACCCAGCGCGCCCAGUCAGACCCCAGGGCCUGUGUACCGAGCAUGCGCAGUUCCCGCCCAAGCCAGGAGCAGCGUCAACCUGAGACUCCCGAGACAUUAAGAAUUCGGAAGGGAUGAGAUGGUAGAGGGGCUAGAGCUACCUCCAAGCUUUAUCCUGAGGCGGGGAGUGAAGGAGAGAUGCCCAAGGCCCAAGAGGGGCCGCGAGGGCCUUUGUCCGAUGCCACCCAGUCUGUCAGCACUCCUAGAGCUUUGGUUUUAUCUUGUAUUAGCAUGUGAAGCUUUAAGGGGGGGGCACCUACAGGCUUCUGACUGAAGUUGUGUAAACGCAACAAAAUGAAGCUUUGGAGCGUUAGGACAUUGAUGGGAGGGUGACGCCCCCCUCUAGCAGCGCGCCAGAGGGGCGAGUCAGAGGCGGCCACACACCACGGAAGUCGGGUCCAAGCCCGCUGACGUCGCCGGGGUCCCGCCCACCAACCCUCUGGACCCGCCCACAUUUCUUCUAGACCCGCCCCUUUCGGUGCCGAACUGAAGUCGAGCUCUUCCCACGCCCUGUCAGCCACGGGUGAGUUGAAAACCUGGAGAGCGGAAUCCCGAACGGCAGCCGGAAGGCCCUGGACUCCUCAUAGCAACAGCCAGCUAGGGGCAUCUAGUGGGAAGCUGGGAUUCAUUCUAGCCAACCACAUCACGUCUCUGUACCACAAGGUACCAUUCACGACCAAUAAGAGAGCGCCCCCAUACCACGUGCCUUUACUCCUUCAACCAAUCGAGAAAAACGCUAGUCGUAGGAUCCGCAAGCCCACCUCCCAGUGCCUUGCCAGGCGGGGCUCUUCGCGCACGCUCUGCCAACCAAUCGUAGGUGAGCUGGCGAGUGACGGAAGCUUCGGCCAAGCCAACCAGAGCUCGCGAGCCCCUUGCCACCGAGGCCGGCGGGAUGGAGACAGGGACCGGCUGCUGGGGUUUGGGAGGGGCAGAGAUUGAGGAGCCAGUUGCUGUGCCCUGUUCUGGCAAAAGAACAAGAUGCGUUGCAAGCCAGAAUGAUGAAUUCCACUUUUCACGUCGCCUCCGUGGCAUUCUGCCUAAAUGAUGGGCAUGGAAAUGGUGCUGAGGGAUGUGGGCUGAAUCGAGAACACAGGGACUUUUGUCUUCAGGGUGAGAAAUGUUCCGGUCCUUAAGGAAACAUCGUGCAGCAGUUGCAUGGGUCUUCCAGGCGUUCCUCCCAAAACAUUAUUUUUUUUCUUUCACUAUUGAGUUUUAAAACUUAGCGUUCUGUCGCUAGCAUUGCAUCUUAGUUACACAUCCUCUCCCACCCAUAACGUCAAAUUUAGGAGACGAUACAUCCCCAAGCUUUCCUGCAUUAUUUUUUGCAGUAACUGGUUAUUCAGUUUACUUUCUUUAAACUAUGUCCUUCUCAAACUAGUCUCACCUGUUCGUUACUGUCGCACAUUUCCUGCGAAUAACACGUUUCUGUAGUUCUGUUGUUAGAGCCUGGCAUACCUCUCCCCGUUCCUCUUUCCCACAAGGUCAUCAUGCAGAGGGGAUUUUGGUCUGAGUUAAAAGCCAGGUAUUCUUUCACCAUCUUUUCUGUCGAUAGUCAAACUACUACAAAGACUACUCAAAUUUAGUAGUUUCUUAUUUCCCUAUAGCUUCGUUAUAUUAGAAUGGAUAACUUAUAUUUGCAUUACCUUGCUGUAAUGAACACACACCAAGUUUUCAUUUAAAAUUAUCAAGGACAAAUGUCCUCUGAAUUUAAAAAUGUGUAUGUAGUAAAAUAUAACUCAGCAUUUCUUGAUUACAUAUCAUUAAAAUAUGAAUGGUACUAUCUGAGCCACCAGAAUCAGCAGUGAAGGUAUUAUAUUAAUAAAAAGGACUAAGAAUCAGGACUGUUUUAAGGGAACUGGAACCGAAGAGGAUCUACUAUUUCAUCCUAGGCUAGUUAACAUGAAAUAGUGAAUUAAAAUUGAAAGAGCUUACAUGGAUGCUUCAUAUCUGAGCUACUUUGGCAGGGAUGUUUCAAGAGGAUGUAGGUAAGUAUGGUGUUCACCUAGCUUUCCAGAAGUCUCAUAUUUUGUGUAAAAUUGGUAUGCUUAUUCAUGGUUACUUUGGGUUAGUAGAAGCUAUACUUCUUUUCCAAGGAAAGACAGACUGUCUUAAGAUUCUAACUGUGCAUCUUGGUGAUAAGAAGUUCUUAGGGUUGUUAAAUAGAGCCAGGAAGCGUGAAGCUUUCUCUCUAGAUCAUGACAACUCAUCUAGUACCUUGCAUUACAAAGGAGCUCUAAGUCCAUUUACUUUGCAAGGAAUGAAGUUCCAGUGAUUAAUGUUUUUGAGAAAUUUGUAUUGGGAUUGUGGGGUCCAGAAGGUUGCCUUAAGUAACUGUUUUCAUGACUCCUAGGUCCCUAGAUGUUGAGAAGCUCUGGAUUGAAGCUGUCACAAAAAUAGUGAGUGGGCUCCGUAGUCACUCCAUUUAGCAUAAUACAGAGUAGGACAGCUUUGUGACAUUUCUCAGGCUAUUUCCCCUGACCUCUCAUCAAUGCUGACGUUUUUGAUAAGAAGGGGUAUAGAGACUGCAGCCCUUGGGGUGGUUACAGUUCAUUUAUUUACAGGCCUUAUAUUGACAGGCCUCAGAUUUCAUGCUCAGUACCAUAAAGGUUGAUUUUUAACCACCAAGAGGCAAAAGAAACAUGACAGGUCGGAGCAUAUUUUCUCACCUAUUCUGGCUUAAAUGAUGGUACUUACCUGAUUUGUGGUUGUAGGUGAAAUGUUGGGUGAAAGAUUAGCUGCUAUAAAAAGGAUGUCAGGACGUGUAGAGAAUUUAGAGGACUUGGGUGGGAGAUGGAUGUCUAUUUUCUAACCCCUUAGUCAUGUUCAUUCCGAUGCCAGCAUAAACUCUAUUUUGAGAUGAUUAUAGAAAUAACUUAUAUCUUCAUUUGUUUGUGGGAAAUAAAAAAUAAAAAUGAUAUAAAAGAAAUUUGAAUUAUUCCCAAGAGCUGUAAAUCUGUAAGAUAGUGAAAACUUAACGCAGUAACUGACACUGCAGGAUCCCUUUAGUUUCCAAAGUGCAUUGCCAGGAGAAUAAAAAGAAAGAAAAUCUUCAUUUCUCCUCUCUCCACUAAAUCUGAAAGGGAGUUAUCUCACCUAUAGCCAGAUACCUUCAAUUAUCGCACUUGUGUUACCGUGGAAACCCAAGUCCAUCCUUUCUUUCUGUAAAAGGUGUUGGAAAAGGUGGUAUGAAGUGGGAAAGGUACUGUAUUCUGGGACUUCCUGACACCAGCAAGAAGCAAAUAUGCAGAUAAUUUAAUAGAAACAAAUUAGUAGAGGAUGUUUGUAAUGCGAGGGGUACUUUUCGACUGUAAAACCCUGAUUCCUAAUGCUUCUUAUUAAAGCCUGCAUGCCUCUGAUUAAACAUAAAGGGGAAGGGCAUGUCAAGUACAUUUAGCACCUGUGAAACGCUGCUGGCAAGUAUAAGGAGAGCAGACGAUGGUUUCUUGACCUGUGAGGCUCCUAAUACAGUUGAGAAUCUGCAGUAUAUAUGUGGAGUGGAAAGGAAGGGGCAAAAUAAACUUUGUUCUUCCUUUAAAAAAUGUGAUAUGUCUCAGUGCUUUUGAAAAGAAAAGGAAUUAGAAUGCAGAAAUUAAGAGUAUGGAAACAACUCAAUAAAAGAAACGUAUGGGUGGAGAGAGUAGAUGUUUCAAAAGGCCAUUUUAAUCAGAAAAAAAAUCUGAAAGAAAAGACGUAAUGAUUAAAAUGUAGGCAGAAAAAAGAAAAAGCCUGAAGAAUCUUAAGAGCUAGAGGAUUCUGCGGAAAACAGAGCUUCAGUGUGGUUCAUUUAACAAAGCAGAAGAGCAGGCACAGUGUUGCUUGCGUACCCAGCAGUUUCCCUUUAUUUUUGCCAAAGAAGCUGGGAUGAAUCAGGAUUGGACUUUAAUAGCAUUGCUUUCCCUCUGCCCACGGUUAGUCCAAAAGUAGGCACGUGACUCAGUUCUUGUCAUUGGAAUGGGGAGAAGGCUGCUAGGGCUGGAGGGAUUUCUAGGAUAUUGACAAGAGUGAGGAAAUAUCCCCGUUUUCUGAUGUCGCUCUCUUUGCUUCCUGCUUUACACAUUGAAAUAUGAGAAUGUGGCCUCCAUUUGGGGGCUAUGAUGCAUUAUGACAUUAUGGUGCAAUACUGUAGAAAGCCAGCAACUUCGGAUGGCCAGGGAGGAGGAUGGGAAGAACCUAGGUCCUGCAUGACAACAUUGGACAGUCAAACCAACAUUAGAACUGCCCACAUUUGGACUUAUGGCUAAGUAAACAGCUGGUGUCUUUCAAUUUAAGUGUGUGUUGGUAAGGUUUUCUGCAUCUUACAGCAAAAUACAUCCCACCUGUUAACAAAAAGUAUGAGGGAUUCCAGCCAAAAUCGGGCUUUAAAAAAUCAGCAAGCAUUUGUGAGCACUUUCAUUUCACUAAUAUCUGAACGAUAGUUCAAAGAUACUAUAAUAUUAAUUGAGUAAUUACUGUGUAUAUUUUUUAGGCUCUGGGGAUAAAACAAUAAGCAAUUAGCCAAAAGAGCUUGUAUUCUA
rnacentral:lncRNA from 1 species